GCCUACGGCCAUCCCACCCUGGUAACGCCCGAUCUCGUCUGAUCUCGGAAGCUAAGCAGGGUCGGCCUGGUUAGUACUUGGAUGGGAGACCUCCUGGGAAUACCGGGUGCUGUAGGCU
rnacentral:rRNA from 7 species